rnacentral:rRNA from 1 species
AGGAUGAACGCUGGCGGCGUGCCUAAUACAUGCAAGUCGAGCGAACUGAUUAGAAGCUUGCUUCUAUGACGUUAGCGGCGGACGGGUGAGUAACACGUGGGCAACCUGCCUGUAAGACUGGGAUAACUUCGGGAAACCGAAGCUAAUACCGGAUAGGAUCUUCUCCUUCAUGGGAGAUGAUUGAAAGAUGGUUUCGGCUAUCACUUACAGAUGGGCCCGCGGUGCAUUAGCUAGUUGGUGAGGUAACGGCUCACCAAGGCAACGAUGCAUAGCCGACCUGAGAGGGUGAUCGGCCACACUGGGACUGAGACACGGCCCAGACUCCUACGGGAGGCAGCAGUAGGGAAUCUUCCGCAAUGGACGAAAGUCUGACGGAGCAACGCCGCGUGAGUGAUGAAGGCUUUCGGGUCGUAAAACUCUGUUGUUAGGGAAGAACAAGUACGAGAGUAACUGCUCGUACCUUGACGGUACCUAACCAGAAAGCCACGGCUAACUACGUGCCAGCAGCCGCGGUAAUACGUAGGUGGCAAGCGUUAUCCGGAAUUAUUGGGCGUAAAGCGCGCGCAGGCGGUUUCUUAAGUCUGAUGUGAAAGCCCACGGCUCAACCGUGGAGGGUCAUUGGAAACUGGGGAACUUGAGUGCAGAAGAGAAAAGCGGAAUUCCACGUGUAGCGGUGAAAUGCGUAGAGAUGUGGAGGAACACCAGUGGCGAAGGCGGCUUUUUGGUCUGUAA